rnacentral:rRNA from 1 species
AUUGAACGCUGGCGGAAUGCUUUACACAUGCAAGUCGAGCGGCAGCGCGGGGCAACCUGGCGGCGAGCGGCGAACGGGUGAGUAACAUAUCGGAACGUACCCCGUCGUGGGGGAUAACACAGCGAAAGCUGUGCUAAUACCGCAUACGACCUGAGGGUGAAAGCGGGGGACUCGCAAGGGCCUCGCGCGAUGGGAGCGGCCGAUAUCGGAUUAGCUAGUUGGUGAGGUAAAGGCUCACCAAGGCGACGAUCCGUAGCGGGGCUGAGAGGACGACCCGCCACACUGGAACUGAGACACGGUCCAGACUCCUACGGGAGGCAGCAGUGGGGAAUUUUGGACAAUGGGGGAAACCCUGAUCCAGCCAUUCCGCGUGAGUGAAGAAGGCCUUCGGGUUGUAAAGCUCUUUCGGCAGGAACGAAACGGUCCUUUCUAAUACAAGGGGCUAAUGACGGUACCUGAAGAAGAAGCACCGGCUAACUACGUGCCAGCAGCCGCGGUAA